ACUCGGCACGGUGGUGGGUGCCUGUAGUCCCAGCUACUCAGGAGGCUGAGGUAGGAGAAUUGCUUGAGCCCAGGAGUUCUGGGCUGUAGUGUACUAUGACGAUCGGGUGUCUGCACUAAGUUCGGCAUCAAUAUGGUGACCUCCUGGGAGCGGGAAACCACCAGGUUGCCUAAGGAGGGGUGAACCAGCCCAGGUCAGAAAUUGAGCAGGUCAAAACUCUGUGCUGCUCAGUAGUGGGAUCACACCUGUGAAUCCCACUGCACUCCAGCCUGGGCAACAUAGCGAGACCCCAUCUCU
rnacentral:SRP_RNA from 1 species